UGGUAGAUGCACCCUGAUUAUUCGUCCCUGACUUGCCUUGUAGUAAGUUGGGGCUUUUUAU
rnacentral:sRNA from 1 species